UAUUAACCCUUUUCAUUUUGUUUUGGAAGUAAAUAUUUCUCUCAUGUUUCAGGUACCCAAACUUGGCGGAGGCAACACGGCAUCCAUGUUUGCAUUCUUGAAAGAUGUGGAAGCUGGUGGUGAAAUGGUCUUCCCCUAUUACAGAGUUAGAAUCACACCUCGACUGGGUAGUGUAGUAUACUAUCUGGCAUCUAGAAGUUUUAUGAUGGUUUGUCCAGUAGCUUACGGUACAUAAUGGCUGUCCGUAAUGUCUUUUUAUGAAGAACAUAAGUAUGGAUUUUGUCGAGAUCACGAUCAACCAUAAACGCAAGAUAACUCUUUACGUUAUUCACAUCCAUCGUCAGGUCAUUCUCAAAGAUUAAUUCUCUUGGAUUAACAUUAUAAUUACCUUUGAAUAAUAUAAAGUAUGACACUUUUAUAUUUCUUAAAUUGCCAAAAUCAUUUCCUUUUACUUAGAAAGAUUUUGAAAAUAUUCUUAUAAUACAUGUAGUUAUUUAUAAAUCUCUAUAUAUGUGGCAUAUCUACUUAAAACUAUUUAUUUUUUUCAAUUUAUAAAAAUCUAUCAUGCACUUAGUUUAACAAAAUCUACUUAAAACUAUUUAUUUUUUUCAAUUUAUAAAAAUCUUAUCAUGUACUUAGUUUAACAAAAUGUGGAGUUAGUUCCCCUUAAUUUAGCGUUACACAGUUUUAGAUCGCUUAAUGUUUAGCUAUACAGAUUGUCCUGUCCGGAUUGUACUGUCCGGAUUGUCAUCUAAAUGUAAAAGGUUUGGCAUUUUCAGAAAAAAGGGUGCCUCCUUUCUAGUUGCCAUUAAAAUGUCAAUGGAAGGCCCCGUACGUAGAAGAUGUUUUUACUCCCUUAGAACUCCACUGAUGAACGUCUGUCUAUGUAUAUAUUAAGUUAUUGUCCUGUUCUUUGUAUAUUUUGUAGACAAUAAAUCAUUAUAAUAUAUAACAAAAGUUUCCACAUUUAUAUAUUCUAUAAUUGACGGCUGAAAAGCGUA